GUAGGGAAUAUUGCGCAAUGGGGGAAACCCUGACGCAGCGACGCCGCGUGAGUGAUGAAGGCCUUCGGGUCGUAAAGCUCUGUUGCAGGGGAAUAAAAAAAUGAAGGUACCCUGUGAGGAAGGAUCGGCUAACUUCGUGCCAGCAGCCGCGGUAAGACGAGGGAUCCUAGCGUUGCUCGGAAUCAUUGGGCGUAAAGAGGGCGUAGGUGGCUUGGUAAGUCAGGUGUGAAAGCCCAGGGCUCAACCCUGGAAGUGCAUUUGAUACUGCUGAGCUUGAGUGUCGGAGAGGUUACCGGAAUACCUGGUGUAGUGGUGAAAUACGUAGAUAUCAGGUGGAACACCGGAGGCGAAGGCGACUACCUGGACUGAUACUGACACUGAGGUGCGAAAGCGUGGGGAGCAAACAGGAUUAGAAACCCUGGUAGUCC
rnacentral:rRNA from 1 species